rnacentral:rRNA from 1 species
CCUACGGGUGGCAGCAGUGGGGAAUCUUGGGCAAUGGGCGCAAGCCUGACCCAGCAACGCCGCGUGAAGGAAGAAGGCUCUCGGGUUGUUAAACUCCUUUUAUAGGGAAGAGUAGUAGACAGUACCUGCCGAAUAAGCCAUGGCCAACUACGUGCCAGCAGCCGCGGUAGUACGUAGGUGGCAAGCGUUGUCCGGAUUUACUGGGUGUAAAGGGUGUGUAGCCGGGUUGACAAGUCAGAUGUGAAAUCCUGCGGCUUAACCGUAGAACUGCAUUUGAAACUGUUGGACUUGAGUACUGGAGAGGGAGACGGAAUGCGUGGUGUAGCGGUGAAAUGCGUAGAUAUUAGGAGGAACACCAGUGGCGAAGGCGGGUUGCUGGACAUCAACUGACGCUGAGGCACGAAAGCGUGGGGAGCAAACAGGAUUAGAUACCCGGGUAGUC